rnacentral:rRNA from 1 species
GAUGUAUAGGUAAAGCUAAAUGUAUUUUUUAAUAGUAAUACAUAUUCGAUUUAUUCGUAUAAAAUUCUAGAUAGAAUUAUGAUAAUGACAUUGUCUAUCUAUAAGUCUUGGCCAAAUUACGUGCCAGCAGUCGCGGUAAGACGUAAAAGACUAGUGUUAUUCAUCUUUAAUAGGUUUAAAGCGUACCUAGACGGUAAAUCAAGCCUUAAGGGGACUAAUUUAACUAGAGUUAGAUGUAAGGGUGCAUAUACGUACUGUUGUGUGUAGAGAUGAAAUUCUUUUAUACCAGAUUAUUGGCACGGGUUAAGGCGAAAGCAUCACCUUAUGUAAUAACUGACGUUGAGAGACGAAGGCUUUGUGUCGCGAACAGGAUUAGAUACCCUAGUAGUCUAAGCAGAAAAUGAUGAGUGUCAUAGGCUAAAUAUUAUUUGGUCUAUAAAUGAAAGUGUAAGCAUUCCACCUCAAGAGUAAUUUGGCAACAUUGGAAUUGAAAUCAUUAGACCGUUUCUGAAACCAGUAGUGAAGUAUGUUGUUUAAUUAGAUAAUCCACAAAGAACCUUACCACAAUUUGAAUAUUUUACAAGUGUUGCACGGCUGUCUUCAGUUAAUGUCGUGAGAUUAUGGUUGGUUCCAUUAAAUUAACGUAAACCCUUACUUUAUUUUAUAAAAUAUAAAGUUGUUCGCCGCUAGAUUGGUUAGAUAAAAGGGAUUAAGACAAGUCAUCAUGGCCUUAAUAUUGUGGGCUAUAGACGUGCCGCAUAUGCCUAACAAAGGGAUGCUAAAUUGC